UACGUAGGGUGCGAGCGUUGUCCGGAAUUAUUGGGCGUAAAGGGCUCGUAGGCGGUUUGUCGCGUCGGGAGUGAAAACUCAGGGCUCAACCCUGAGCGUGCUUCCGAUACGGGCAGACUAGAGUGUGGUAGGGGAGACUGGAAUUCCUGGUGUAGCGGUGAAAUGCGCAGAUAUCAGGAGGAACACCGAUGGCGAAGGCAGGUCUCUGGGCCACUACUGACGCUGAGGAGCGAAAGCGUGGGGAGCGAACAGG
rnacentral:rRNA from 1 species